UACAGAGGGUGCGAGCGUUAAUCGGAAUUACUGGGCGUAAAGCGUGCGCAGGCGGUUUUGUAAGCCAGAUGUGAAAGCCCCGGGCUUAACCCUGGGAAUGGCAUUUGGGACUGCAAGGCUGGAGUGUGGCAGAGGAGACUGGAAUUCCUGGUGUAGCAGUGAAAUGCGUAGAUAUCAGGAGGAAUACCGAUGGCGAAGGCAGGUCUCUGGGCUGACACUGACGCUCAUGCACGAAAGCGUGGGGAGCAAACAGG
rnacentral:rRNA from 1 species